rnacentral:rRNA from 1 species
CAGUAGUCACGUAGUUUGAUCCUGGCUCAAGAACGAACGCUGGCGGCAUGCCUAACACAUGCAAGUCGAACGAGACCUUCGGGUCUAGUGGCGCACGGGCGCGUAACACGUGGGAAUUUGCCUCGGGGUAUGGAAUAACUCAGGGAAACUUGAGCUAAUACCAUAUAAUGUCUUCGGACCAAAGAUUUAUCGCCCUGAGAUAAGCCCGCGUAGGAUUAGCUAGUUGGUGGGGUAAAGGCUCACCAAGGCGACGAUCCUUAGCUGGUCUGAGAGGAUGAUCAGCCACACUGGGACUGAGACACGGCCCAGACUCCUACGGGAGGCAGCAGUGGGGGAAUAUUGGACAAUGGGCGAAAGCCUGAUCCAGCAAUGCCGCGUGAGUGAUGAAGGCCUUCGGGUUGUAAAGCUCUUUUACUCGGGACGAUAAUGACGGUACCGAGAGAAUAAGCCCCGGCUAACUCCGUG